rnacentral:rRNA from 1 species
UUAGAGUUCGAUUAUGGCUCAGAUUGAACGCUGGCGGAAUGCUUUACACAUGCAAGUCGAACGGCAGCAUAGAGAGCUUGCUCUCUGAUGGCGAGUGGCGAACGGGUGAGUAAUAUAUCGGAACGUGCCUAGUAAUGGGGAAUAACUAGCUGAAAGGUUAGCUAAUGCCGCAUACGACCUACGGGUGAAAGCAGGGGAUCUUCGGACCUUGCGUUAUUAGAGCGGCCGAUAUCUGAUUAGCUUGUUGGUGGGGUAAUAGCCUACCAAGGCGACGAUCAGUAGCUGGUCUGAGAGGACGAUCAGCCACACUGGAACUGAGACACGGUCCAGACUCCUACGGGAGGCAGCAGUGGGGAAUUUUGGACAAUGGGGGCAACCCUGAUCCAGCCAUUCCGCGUGAGUGAAGAAGGCCUUCGGGUUGUAAAGCUCUUUCGCAAGAGAAGAAAACUUACUAUCUAAUAAAUGGUAAGUAUGACGGUAUCUUGACAAGAAGCACCGGCUAACUACGUGC